rfam:Blautia sp. CAG:52 genomic scaffold, scf220
CUGCGCAGCCGGGGAGUUAGCGGUGCCCUGUACCUGCAAUCCGCUACAGCAGGGGUGAUACCAAACUGAGGGCUUUUCUUUGCAGAGCUGCCUUCUGUAAGUGGCGUUGACGUCUGGGUCUUACGCAACAGGAAUCUGUGAACCGUGUCAGGUCAGGAAUGGAGCAGCACUAAGCAGAACCUUCUGUGUGCCGUAAGGGUGCCUGGGCCGAGUUAACUGCAGAAGUAACGUCUGUGGAGGAAGUUCGAAGGGCGGUGCGCUU